UUUAAUAAUUCACUACAGUCUUUGGCCCAUUAUCUACCAAUAUGGGAAAAAUACCAAAGGCGUGUCUUAUUGAUGGUGAAUAGUGACAAACUGCAUUUUUAUAUAGUGACACAACUCUCACACAUGCUUUUUGAUCCUGGCAACCACUUUUGACAAAGCCAGAGCAAGUGGCGUUGUUUCCAGUGUGAGAAAACUGAAGUGAAACGGUGAAUUGGCUUAUGCAGGUCUCAUGGCUGGAAGGAUGAGGAGUAGAACACAGAUCUCCUGGCCCCUUUUCUCGUUCUUCUUCUACUGUCCCACACUGUGUCUUUUUCUAUCGGAAAGAAACCUCUCUGUCAUAUCAUAAGAAAAGAAUGUGUGCAUCUUGACCUUCCUUCCCACUGCGGUCCAUCCAGAGCUCCUGGAAAUGAACACCUUUGACAACGGAUCUGUGACACCUGACCCUAAAGACCAGUUGGGCUGAAUAUCUGCCCAACAGAAACAUUUGAGCACAAAAUACAGCUAUUGUCUUAAUGUGUUUCAUCAGUGGGGACUAGUUUGAACAUUCUGUCCUAUAAUUGUUUUCCGGGUUUAGCUUUUUGUCCACUGUGAAGGCAUGAAGCAAGCAUUUUGAGUUCUCAAUCUGGUAAAACACUGAUUGCUACAUUCACUAAAUUGAAUGUGAUGGUUAAUUUUGUGUGUCAACUUGACUAGGGUAGGGAAUACCCAGAUAUUUGCUCAAAUAUUUUUCUGGGUGUUUCUGUGAGGGUACUUUAGUGAGACUAGCAUUUAAAUUGAUAGCCUGAGUAAAGCAGAUUGCUCUCCUAACGUGGGUGAGCCUCACCAAUCGACUGAAGGCCUGAAUAGAACAAGAAGGCUGAGACCUCCUCCAAGUAAGAGAGAAUUCUUCCAGCCUGAUGGCCAUUGAACAGAGACAUUGGCUUUUUUCCUGCUUUUAGAUUGGAACUGAAACAUCAGGUCUUCCUGUGGCUUGAGCCUGCCAGCCUUCAACUAGAACUACACUGUUGGCUCUUUGGGGUCUCCAUCUUGCGGAUUCACCCUGUAGAUCUUGGGAUUUGCCAACCUAACAUAACC
rnacentral:lncRNA from 1 species